UAAAAAGUGUACACUAGCUAGUAGAAUUCUCAAAGGUACCAUUUGAUUCGGAUAUAAACAAGAACUAGUUAUUACAGAAAUAGAUACAAGUAUGGGAAUAAGAAAAAUAGUGUUUGAAUGAAAAUUGAGUUGUUCUCGGGGAUAAGAAUAAUUUUAGCUAGUUUUAUAUAAAAAAUAAAGGUGUUGGUGGGGAUAACCGAAAACUACUAUUCUCGGGUAAAAAAUUAAUGUUUGGAUAUAAAUCUCAGAUAAAAAAUUAGCGUUUGGAUAUAAAGGGGGAUAAGAAUUUAUUUCUAUCCCUAUUUCCUAACCAAACGCUGAAUAAUUAUUAUCAUAUUUUUUAUCAAAAAUAAAUAAAUAUUUUUAACUAUUUUUUUAUUAUAUAUUAACUAUUUUUUCCACCUUCUCAAAUCAAAUUUCUGAGUCUAUUUGACAUUAAUAAAAAAAAAUUGGACAAAAACAUAGUGUAAUAUAAUUUUAUAUUUUUUCAGUGAGAUAGUAAAAAAUAUAAUUAUGUCAUGAAAGGACGUCCUAUUGUCCAAUCAUAUGGUACCCAUUUAGGACUUGGCUUAUUGAAAUGAACCCGAUCCAUUAAAUGGGCGACACAUGUUAUAGCGACGCUUCAAUCAAAUGACAAGUGUCAAAGUUGAGGCUCCCAUAAAAUAGACUUUCAUUUUCGUGCUAGGCUCUAUUGGCGAUUAUAGGGAGAUUGCGUAACGUAACAUACAGUAAAAAGUUAUAAUAUAUAAAUAUUUUAUUUAUUUUUAUAUAUAAUAUUUUAUACUAUUUAUUAUAAUUAGUUGAUAAUAUAUAUAUUUUUUACUAUUUUUCAUUAGAAAUCAUGAAGAUUAUUAUAUUUUUGUAUAUUUUUUUUCUAACUCUUUUUAUCUGCUAGCUAGCGUGAGAUGAAUCCGACAUAUUCUUAGUAAUAAGAUUUUUUUUUUACUACAUGCAGAGCAUUAGAGGCAUUCUUUUUCGAGUGAACAUAAAAUUCAGAACUAAAGGCGCAAGAGACGUUUGGUUCGUUGUAAAAGUGAUCCGAAAAAUGUUUUUGGCCUGGAAGAUAAACUUUCGAGCGUUUAGUCGCUGGUAAAGUAUUUUCACAUAAAACUUUUAUUACAGAUUUUAAGAAAAAAUAAUUUUUUUCUUGUUUUUUACUCUAAAAAGUGCAAAAAUACAAAUAGACGCGUACGUGGCGUCAUGGACCGCGUCCAAUUUUAGAGAGAGUAGUAUAUAUUUAAUUUUUUAAGUAAUAUAAUUUUAAAUAAAAAUUUAAAAUAUUUUUUAUAUAAUCAGAUAAUAAAAGAGAAAAAAUAAAUCUUCAAAUUUUUUUCUAUAAAUCAAAUGCGUGUGCAUUAAAUUUAUUUUUCUCUUACAAUAAAUUUUUUUUUUUGAGAGAUAGGUAGUAUAUUACCCGCUUUAUUUAUUUCAUUUAGAAAUAAACUUAGCUGAAAAUGUGAAUCAAUUAGAAUUCGAAUUUGAAACCUCGGAUACCAACCGCCAAGCACUUUGUCUCUUACAACAAAUUAAACAUCAAAAAGAAUGAAAGUUCUUUCCUAU
rnacentral:lncRNA from 1 species